rnacentral:rRNA from 1 species
GACGAACGCUGGCGGCGUGCUUAACACAUGCAAGUCGAACGGUGAAGCCUUUCGGGGUGGAUCAGUGGCGAACGGGUGAGUAACACGUGGGCAACCUGCCCCUGACUUCGGGAUAAGCCCGGGAAACCGGGUCUAAUACCGGAUAUGAUCAUGUCCCGCAUGGGGUGUGGUGGAAAGUUUUUCGGUCAGGGGUGGGCUCGCGGCCUAUCAGCUUGUUGGUGGGGUGAUGGCCUACCAAGGCGACGACGGGUAGCCGGCCUGAGAGGGCGACCGGCCACACUGGGACUGAGACACGGCCCAGACUCCUACGGGAGGCAGCAGUGGGGAAUAUUGCGCGAUGGGCGAAAGCCUGACGCAGCGACGCCGCGUGAGGGAUGAAGGCCCUUCGGGUUGUAAACCUCUUUCAGCAGGGACCAAGGGUGACUGAGUGUACCUGCAGAAGAAGCACC